rnacentral:rRNA from 1 species
AGCAGCCGCGGUAAUUCCAGCUCCAAUAGCGUAUAUUAAAGUUGUUGCAGUUAAAAAGCUCGUAGUUGAAUUUCGGGAUUGACACAUCGGUCGUGCCUUAAGGGGUAUGAACUGGUGUAGUCAAUUUCUCACCUUCUGGAGAACCGCGAUGCCCUUAAUUGGGUGUCGCGGGGAACCAGGACCUUUACUUUGAAAAAUUAGAAUGUUUAAAGCAGGCAUUUUGCUUGAAUACAUUAGCAUGGAAUAAUAAAAUAGGACGGCAUGAUUCUAUUUUGUUGGUUUCUAGGAUCACCGUAAUGAUUAAUAGGGAUAGUUGGGGGCAUUAGUAUUCAAUUGUCAGAGGUGAAAUUCUUGGAUUUAUUGAAGACUAACUACUGCGAAAGCAUUUGCCAAGGAUGUUUUCAUUAAUCAAGAACGAAAGUUAGGGGAUCGAAGACGAUCAGAUACCGU